UUUUCUAUAACAAUUUAUCUCUCCGUAAUCAAUGUCUUGUUAGGUUUAAACUCUCGGCAAACUAUUGAACUUCUCUCUUCUAUCCCUUUAAAGCAUGGACUCGUCUCUCCAUCAUUUCAUUAUAUUUGGAAGCGAGAUUCAUCCUCCAGAUUCAGAACAAGUGGAACUCUAAUCGUCAUCUCUCAGGCUAUAUCGUCCUUAGCCACGUCCUUUUCCAUGUCCAUAUUCUAUUGUUUGAUCAUCUGUCACAGGUUGAAGUCUCUCUUUUUGUUUUGAGUGUUUUUAUCAUGUUCAUAAAUUCAUGGUAUCAAUCAAGAAUCUCACGGUCACAUUCUCAAGCAGAGAAGCUAAACAUUGGUUGAUUAAACCAUAGAGUGACGCUCUUAUUUCAUUACAUGGUAGGGGCUUCUAUCUGAUGAUGUUCAUAGUGAUUCUUCUUUUAAUUUUGUUUGGUUUUGACGAAAUACAUAAUAAGUGUCUCCCAAGAUGUUUGUGAGUGUUUUUUUUUCUUAUCCUUUAGUCCAAAUUUUUCAUAACUUAAGAUCCAUCGAAUUUUGAUCUUGAAUAUGUAUGGUUUUGAGUGAGAUGUUUACCAUCGAAUACUCUUUUAUUCCUAGAUUCAUGGAUUGUAGGUUUAUAUAUUUACAAGCGUCGACUCUUUUAUGUCAAGGUUUACAUGAUAUUCUGGAAAACAAUUAUGUUUGUACGUUUUCUAUUCAUUCUCAUGAAUUCCCAGGUAAUGUUAGUUCAAACGCUAAUAUUCGGAAGACCUUAAAUCACUGGAGGUGACCAGCUUAACAAAUUACAUAUGCAUUGAUGGUGUUGGCCCCAAACAGAGGCAUUUCUGAUAUUACACCUAAUUAAAGAUAUGUAUGUAUGUUUAGUUUAUCUGCCUCUUUUAAAACAAUUUGCUUAUAAGAUCCUCUUGAAAAUCAAUUUUUAUUUUAUAUAUGUUUUUUUGCUGUUGUUGUUGACACCCAUAUUUCAAACUCACGCAAAUCCUCAACUGUUAGUUCAGCCGGUGAAGAUUUUAUCAUAUCGCUUAUGUUAUUUUUUAGUCUUUAUGGUGAUCGAGGGCCUACCAUUUUCGGUUCGAAUGGGAACUUUGGCUUCCAUGGGGAUUGCAAUAGAGGAAGCAUUCAAAAAGAAAAUUUGAUGCAUGGGUGUAUUGGUGUGUGGUGUGGUUAUAAAGUGGGAAAUUGAUGUAUGUUCUACUUACCAUCAGUCCCACAUGAAUUCAAGUGUUAAAUCAGAUUACCCCUAACCAUUUGAGUUCAGCAUAUUGCAUGAAACAUGAAAGCUUCUUUCGGGGAGAGAUGGUUUUGGUUUCUCGCUUUUAGUUUCUUAUAGUCAUGUUGAUCUUUGUUAGUCUAUCUUUUUGGUAUUCUUCUCAUUGGCUUCAAAGUAAAAUCAUAUCUUAAACUGUC
rnacentral:lncRNA from 1 species